UACGAGGGGGGGCAAGCGUUGUUCGGAAUUAUUGGGCGUAAAGGGUGCGUAGGCGGUUUGGUAAGUCUUAUGUGAAAUCUACAGGCUCAACUUGUAGUCUGCAUGAGAAACUGCCGGGCUUGAGUAUGGGAGAGGUGAGUGGAAUUCCUGGUGUAGCGGUGGAAUGCGCAGAUAUCAGGAGGAACACCGGUGGCGAAGGCGGGUCUCUGGGCCGAUAUUGACGCUGAGGAGCGAAAGCGUGGGGAGCGAACAGG
rnacentral:rRNA from 1 species